UCGAAGAUACCAGCUGGCUGCAACUGUUUAUUAAAAACACAGCACUGUGCAAACACGAAAGUGGACGUAUACGGUGUGACGCCUGCCCGGUGCCGGAAGGUUAAUUGAUGGGGUCAGCGCAAGCGAAGCUCCUGAUCGAAGCCCCGGUAAACGGCGGCCGUAACUAUAACGGUCCUAAGGUAGCGAAAUUCCUUGUCGGGUAAGUUCCGACCUGCACGAAUGGCGUAAUGAUGGCCAGGCUGUCUCCACCCGAGACUCAGUGAAAUUGAACUCGCUGUGAAGAUGCAGUGUACCCGCGGCAAGACGGAAAGACCCCGUGAACCUUUACUAUAGCUUGACACUGAACAUUGAGCCUUGAUGUGUAGGAUAGGUGGGAGGCUUUGAAGUGUGGACGCCAGUCUGCAUGGAGCCGACCUUGAAAUACCACCCUUUAAUGUUUGAUGUUCUAACGUGGACCCGUAAUCCGGGUUGCGGACAGUGUCUGGUGGGUAGUUUGACUGGGGCGGUCUCCUCCUAAAGAGUAACGGAGGAGCACGAAGGUUGGCUAAUCCUGGUCGGACAUCAGGAGGUUAGUGCAAUGGCAUAAGCCAGCUUGACUGCGAGCGUGACGGCGCGAGCAGGUGCGAAAGCAGGUCAUAGUGAUCCGGUGGUUCUGAAUGGAAGGGCCAUCGCUCAACGGAUAAAAGGUACUCCGGGGAUAACAGGCUGAUACCGCCCAAGAGUUCAUAUCGACGGCGGUGUUUGGCACCUCGAUGUCGGCUCAUCACAUCCUGGGGCUGAAGUAGGUCCCAAGGGUAUGGCUGUUCGCCAUUUAAAGUGGUACGCGAGCUGGGUUUAGAACGUCGUGAGACAGUUCGGUCCCUAUCUGCCGUGGGCGCUGGAGAACUGAGGGGGGCUGCUCCUAGUACGAGAGGACCGGAGUGGACGCAUCACUGGUGUUCGGGUUGUCAUGCCAAUGGCACUGCCCGGUAGCUAAAUGCGGAAGAGAUAAGUGCUGAAAGCAUCUAAGCACGAAACUUGCCCCGAGAUGAGUUCUCCCUGAGACUUUAGGUCUCCUGAAGGAACGUUGAAGACGACGACGUUGAUAGGCCGGGUGUGUAAGCGCAGCGAUGCGUUGAGCUAACCGGUACUAAUGAACCGUGAGGCUUAACCUUACAACGCCGAA
rnacentral:rRNA from 1 species